rnacentral:pre_miRNA from 1 species
GUUGUACUCCCUCCGAAUCAUAUUACUUGUCGUUCAAAUGGAUGUAUCUAGACGUAUUUCAAUGCUAGAUACAUCCGUUUGAGCGACAAGUAAUAUGGGUCGGAGGGAGAACUUA